rnacentral:rRNA from 1 species
GACGAACGCUGGCGGCGUGCCUAACGCAUGCAAGUCGAGCGAGGAACUUCGGUUCCUAGCGGCGGACGGGUGAGUAACACGUGGGUAACCUGCCUCAUAGAGGGGGAUAGCCUCCCGAAAGGGAGAUUAAUACCGCAUAACAUUUUCUUGUCGCAUGAUAAGAAAAUCAAAGGAGUAAUCCGCUAUGAGAUGGACCCGCGGCGCAUUAGCUAGUUGGUGAGGUAAAGGCUCACCAAGGCGACGAUGCGUAGCCGACCUGAGAGGGUGAUCGGCCACAUUGGAACUGAGAUACGGUCCAGACUCCUACGGGAGGCAGCAGUGGGGAAUAUUGCACAAUGGGCGAAAGCCUGAUGCAGCAACGCCGCGUGAGUGAUGAAGGUCUUCGGAUUGUAAAGCUCUGUCUUCUGGGACGAUAAUGACGGUACCAGAGGAGGAAGCCACGGCUAACUACGUGCCAGCCGCCGCAGUAAUAC